AUACGUAGGGGGCGAGCGUUGUCCGGAAUGAUUGGGCGUAAAGGGCGCGUAGGCGGCGCAGUAAGUCUGGAGUGAAAGUCCUGCUUUCAAGGUGGGAAUUGCUUUGGAUACUGCCGCGCUUGAGUGCAGGAGAGGUUAUCGGAAUUCCCGGUGUAGCGGUGAAAUGCGUAGAGAUCGGGAGGAACACCAGUGGCGAAGGCGGGUAACUGGACUGCAACUGACGCUGAGGCGCGAAAGUGUGGGGAGCAAACAGGAUUAGAUACCCUGGUAGUCCACACUGUAAACGAUGAAUGCUAGGUGUAAGAGGUAUCGACCCCUUUUGUGCCGGAGUCAACACAAUAAGCAUUCCGCCUGGGGAGUACGGCCGCAAGGUUGAAACUCAAAGGAAUCGACGGGG
rnacentral:rRNA from 1 species